AGACCUAGGUAUUUAUUCCUAUACCUUUCGCCCGAUUCCUGUUGGUUUCCCCCGAAUCGCCGUUCCACCUCUCCUCUUCACCUUCGCUGGUGUCGAUCGGCUCUCCACCGAGCUCAGGUUCUCGAUCAAGCACCACACCAUCUCGGCGAGCUCGCGGGGGAGUUGCGAGCGGACGUGAAGUCCUUUGACCACCACACCGGCGGCACAGCUACAUCUAGGGCGAGGGCUCCGACAGAGGAAUGAGGAAAGGAAGGCAAGUUCAUUCCCUUUUGAUUGUACGAGAUCUGUGAGGUGAGGUUGUCUCCAGGAUAUGACGGAAGGCCCUCGGACGGAGUAGACGAGGAAAUGAGAUGGAGGCAUGACACACUGUCCGAGCGUUAAAUUUAGAGUGCUGAGCCUUUUAUUGUACGAGGAGUUGUAUUGGUGUGUCCCCCUUCUUUCGUUAAUGUUUUGUUGGUAAUGAUACCGGUUACGUUGGGUAUUAUGGUUCUUUAUGAUGGAUUUUCUAUUCUGGUUAUAUUACAAUAAAGGUUUAGAGGAAUGUCAUAAGUUGCUUAUGGAUAUAUAUAAAUAUAUAUAUAAAAAAAACUUGAGGGAUAA